rnacentral:rRNA from 1 species
GACGAACGCUGGCGGCGUGCUUAACACAUGCAAGUCGAACGGAACGGCCCUGCUUUUGUGCGCUGCUCGAGUGGCGAACGGGUGAGUAACACGUGAGUAACCUGUCCUUGACUUUGGGAGAACCUCAGGACACUGGGGCUAAUACCGGCUAGGAGCUCUUGCUGCAUGGUGGGGGUUGGAUAGUUUCGGCGGUUGGUGAUGGACUCGCCGCUCAUCAGCUUGAUGGUUGGGUAGUGGCAUACCAAGGCCUUGCCCGGUAGCCGACCUGCGCGGGUGACAGGCCACAUUAGGACUGGAAUACGGCCCAGACUCGAAUGGGACGGAAAAGAGGAGAGUGGAACACAAGGGGAGGAGGGCUGGUGUAAUAAAGCAGCGUGCGGUAUGACAGCCAGCGGGUAGGAAACCACAUUCGUCUGUGACGAGACGUUAAUGACGGUAACGGGUGAAUAAGCACCGGCUAACUACGUG